AUUGAACGCUGGCGGCAGGCCUAACACAUGCAAGUCGAACGAGUGGCGGACGGGUGAGUAAUGUCUGGGAAACUGCCCGAUGGAGGGGGAUAACUACUGGAAACGGUAGCUAAUACCGCAUACCAUGGGAUGUGCCCAGGUGGGAUUAGCUAGUGGGGGGGGUAACGGCUCACCAUGGCGACGAUCCAUAGCUGGUCUGAGAGGAUGACCAGCCACACUGGAACUGAGACACGGGCCAGACUCCUACGGGAGGCAGCAGUGGGGAAUAUUGCGCAAUGGUCGAAAGCCUGAUGCAGCCAUGCCGCGUGUAUGAAGAAGGCCUUCGGGUUGUAAAGUACUUUCAGCGGGGAGGCGUUACCCGCAGAAAAAGCACCGGCUAACUCCGUGCCAGCAGCCGCGGUAAUUC
rnacentral:rRNA from 1 species